rnacentral:rRNA from 1 species
UACAGAGGUGGCAAGCGUUGCUCGGUAUCACUGGGCUUAAAGGGCGCGUAGGCGGUGCGGUACGGUUUCGGUGAAAUCCCUCGGCCCAACCGAGGAACAGCCGGAGCUACGGCCGCACUAGACGGCAUCAGGGGACAGUGGAACUUCCGGUGGAGCGGUGAAAUGCGUAGAUAUCGCUUGGAACGCCGAAGGUGAAAACAGGUCGCUGGGGAUGUGCCGACGCUGAGACACGAAAGCCAGGGGAGCAAACGGG